UAUUCUAUUUACCAACUCAAAUUUCCACUCUCUCUCUCCCCCCUCCCUCCUUUUUGUAAAAUAGAUGUCUGAUUGAUUCCCCAUCUGUGUGUGUAUCUGUAUGGAUGUAGGUAUGGUACCCAUACAUCAGCACCAGAGCUUCCAAAUACCACUUCUUUGAAUGACUCAUGUGAUUGAUUUGCUUCCAUUGAAUUGAAUUCUGGUCGAGAGAUCAUCCUUUCGGAAUUGUGUGGUGAACUUCUUGCUGGAAGAGAACUGCUUACUCACUCCAUUCAAGCACCUCCAUGAGCUCCUCGACAAUGGCCUCGACACUCACGCCAUUCGCCUCAAGGAGUUCUUCUUCCUCUGUUCCAGCAACCGAAAUCCCUAAUUCCUCAAUCAACACAUCCACCCUACCUCUCCGUACCUGCAUCACUUCGGACGAAACCUGAAGGACAACCUCGUGAUUAAGCUCAUGAACGAUGUUGUCAGCAUUUGUAGGUUCUCAAGGUACUCAUAUCUUUCCUUGUUUUAGGUUUUCAAUUUGAUAUAUUAUUUGUUUGAGUUCACCAAUGAUCCUGAGGUCUAGAUUUGCAAACUGAUAUGGUGUAUUUGCAUAUGGAAUUCUUUGCUGAAGUUAGUCCCGUGCAGAUCUUUGUUUCGAACCAUGUGGGUUCCUUUAACAUCGGCAAGUUGUUUCUUUUGAUAGCCCAAUGUGUCUAGAGAUGAGUGAAGUUUGCAGGAUCCAUUGAUUGUAGCAUAUGCUUAAUCAUAUUCUUGUUGUCCUUCAACUGAUUCCCGAUAAUAUGGAGUUCCAAUCUGAUGACAUGCCAAAUUGUGCAACAUCGAAUGGCUUGGUUUCAAGUGAAGAUUCAAAAGGACAGCGAAGGGAGAUUGAAGAUCAUCGGUCUCAUGUUGAAGAGAAGGAACAACCAUUGAAGGAGAACUUGUCCUGGUCUCAAAGUUUCGAACUGAAGUUGCUACAGAAUAAGUGUAAAUUUAUUUCAUAAGUAUUUGGUUUUAUCUAGUAUUGUAACCGUAAAAAUCUUAAAUUAUUAUGUAACGACUAUGGGCAUAAUUAUUUGAAUUGUAAAUUUGAUUAGCGUGUAAUUUAUAUUUGUCUA